AUAUAAUUAUACUAGAUUUUAACCCGCGGUAUACCGCGGGGACAAUUUAUUUUUUAAAGUUAGUAUAUAUAAAAAUUUGUAAAUUGUAUCUAUCUAUAAAAUAUUUUAUUUUAUAGUUUACAACUGUUAUUAAGUAACGUCCUCCCAAACCCGUCUCGCAAAACCCGUUCUGCAAAAAAAACCAUUUAUUUUAUUAAUGUUGAUCUUAUUUAUGAAUCAUUGUCUAAAUAUUUUAGUCGAUGCGGGAUGUUGAACCCACACAUUUUUUCGCCAAUUGGUUAAUAUAUGUUCAUUUUUAAAAAUUUUAAUCACAAAAUAUGACGGAAAUUUUUUUGAGAUUUUUUUAAACUAUAUAUUAUAUAAUGAUGUUAAAAUUUUUGAUAUAUUAAACUUUUUAUAAGUUUAAAUAUUAAUAAUGUUUUAUAAAGUUUAAAUAUAUAAAUAUUUUAAAAUAUUUUUG
rnacentral:sRNA from 1 species